AAGAUGUCAAAAACUUAGGGUGUUGCUAUUCACACACCCAUUUUUUCUAUUCACACACCCCUCAAUUUUCCUAUUACUUUAAUUCAAUUUGUUUUUACAAAUUACCCUAACUACCUUCUCUUGUAAUUAUGUUUCUUUUUCUUUUUCUUUUUCUUUUUCUAUUUGGCAAGUCAAUCAUGAAUCAAAUAUCAUUAUACAAUAAAUCAAUUUUAAGAGUUUCAUACCAUUGAUUAUGCAUGUGUCUGCAUUUGUCUAGCUCCUCAAGUAAGUCUUGUUCAAACAAUUAAUUUUGAACUAUACUCCAUUUUUUUUUUGCACCUAGAAAUUCCCAAAUUUGCAAACUAUACUCCAUUUGAAAAUGGCUUAUUGACAAUCUGUAAGAGACGAGAAACUCAAAUAAGCUAGGUGCAAUAUUGGAACCCGAGAAAACAAAUGAGUAAAGCAUGCUUCUUAUCCCUCCUACUUGUAUGAGAACAAACUUUGCAAUUUAGAUUGAUGAACAUAAUUACCUAGGAAAUAUAUUCCUUGUGUAAUAAUAUAGUUCAUUCCACUUAAUGAACGUAAUAUUUUUCCUUCAUUUAUAUAGGUAAAACAAAAUUGAUUUAUUGUAUAAUGAUAUUUGAUUCAUGAUUGACUUGCCAAAUAGAAAAAAGAAAAAAGAAAAAAGAAAAAAGAAAAAAGAAAAAAGAAAAAAGAAAAAAGAAAAAGAAACAUAAUUACAAGAGAGGGUAAUCAGGGUAAUUUGAAAAAACAAAUUGAAUUAAAGUAAUAGGAAAAUUGAGAGGUUGUGUGAAUAGAGAAAAUGGGUGUGUGAAUAACACCACCCUAUAAGAAAUGAAAAAAAGUUAGAAAAACAAAAGAGUGAAGAGUUUUUUUUCUUCAUAUUAAUAGAGAGCAUUUAAUAAGGUCAAACAUAAAUAAGGGCAAAACAUAGAAUGGAAUUAGUUAUUUUUUCAAGAUAGUAAAUACAUAGAUUGUAAUCAUAAAUGAAUCCACAUGACACAAGACAAGUGGGGAAGGAAGAAAGAGAAAGGUUGGGGAGAAUGUUGCUAGCAUAUCCAGCAUAUUAGUUAGAGGAAUAUACCAAUUAAAAUUUUGUUUCAUUUAUCGAAAUUUUUUCUUGUAGUCGUUAAUUUUUUUCGCCCCCACAUUCAAAAGUUUCUGCGUUCGCCAUUGGUGGACAGUGCCGUGGUUUUGUUGGACUUGGUGUCAGCAUUAAGUCCCAUCAAUGCAAGUUAUUGCGAAUAUCUCAUCCUGUGAUUACAUUGAGAUCUAGUAAUGAGGCAUCAUCGAGCUCUUGUAACGUCUAUUGUAGGACUGAGGUAUACACUAUGGGAACAAGAGUUUGGGGAAGCAUUGGAUUUGUUCCCAAUUGCGGGAGUAGUCUCAAGGCAUCAUUUGAUGCUCAUUUGCAUGGAGCUCUUCAUUGGGUUUCCUUUUGGGGUAAGAGCAGCGAGUUUAUACAUUCUUUCGACUUUGAAACAGAAAAAUUUCGACUGAGACCCCCACCUAGCAACUUUGGGCUGAUAGAGAAGCAGUAUACAGAGAGUUUGAAGUUGGGAGCGUUAAGAAAUUGUCUCAUUUUAUCUGUGUUUGCUAAUGAUUCUAGCAGAUCUGACAUGUGGGUUAUGAAGGAUUAUGGUAUCCAAGAGUCUUGGACUAGAAGUGUUGUUAUUGAAAACUUCUUUCCAAUGGAACUUAGCUUUGAUUGUUAUGAACCUAUUAUCCUUGAGCAGUGGGGAAAUUCUGAUGUUCAAUGAUGAUGAUCCUCGGGUCGUAGUUUGUUAUAAUCAAGAAGCAAAGAGUUUCAGGGAAACUAGAAUUACUUCGACUACCUUGCCAUUGAUUCAACUUGCUUACCGUCCAUCCUUUGUUUCGCUCUAUGAUGUUUCAAAAAGAGAGGAGGUGAAAAGGGUAAGAGAUUUUAAGAAAUCUGACGCUGCUGGGGGUAGGGAGUAGUGGUUUUGCUUGUUCUGGCCAGCCUUCUUUUGAAUAGGCCGGCACCAUAGCCAUAAUCUUCCUGUGUUUGCGAUUUAGCUAGAGCUCAACUGAACUAUGGCUCGCAAUUUUGCUUUCCGUAUGGCGCAAUUAGGCAUUAAAGGGUUAUCAGCAAGGCCGAUCUUUGAACAAGCACCUUGUUUCAG